rnacentral:lncRNA from 1 species
GGUUCCCAGGGGUCAGGUGAUGGAAGGCCCAUGGAGCUGCAGCGGAAGUGAGCCCUGAGCUGGGGACAGGGACUCAGAGCUGCUCCUCGCCGAGCAUUUUCCUGCGCUCCAUUCUGCUCUGAGGCUCACAGUGUUAUGACAUGUGCAGCAAAUGUCUCAAAGGGACUCCGAGAACACAAACAGGCUGAUCUGCAACACGGUGUGAGGAAAACAGAAGAGGCACGUGAGUCGGGAAGCAGUCAUCAUCAUGAAUUCAUUUCUGUUGUCACCAGCAGGAGCAACGUGAUCUAGUCAGGAUGAAACCAAGAGCCCUACCUUCAACUCUCCCGCAUGUUGGGAUGAGACACAGUGGAAGAGGAGCAGGUCCCAUCAAACCUCCCAGCUCCCCUAAACACCCAGCCCAAAGGAACAACCCAGAACCUCCAGGCAGCACCCUCAGAGGGAGGGCUUCAGGCCCAAAGUUUAACUUUGCUCUCAGCAACAAAAAGGGAUACAAUCCCUCUCAUGAUACUGCUCAGCUGCACUGCGGUCUGUGAAUCUGGGACUUCCUACGGUACCCAUCAGCAAUCACAGCCCAGUGGUCAAGACUGGAGGAAGGGCCCAGGCAGAGCAAGAGCCAGAGCGGUUGCCAUGGCAGCAGCAGUAGGACUCCGAAGAGUUUCAGAAGCAGGUCUGUCUCAAGAGUUUAUAACACAAGCAUAUGCUGUCUGUAUCUAGCACAUGCUGGAGGAAGACGUUUUCAGUCUGUUUUCCGACUCCCUCUGUCAGUUUGCAUUAAGAUUCUCUGGUGCAACUGUGGAGAGGCAAGUCACAUGAGGUCUCUGCCCCCGGUCUGCAAGUGAAUCUGCAAGAAAGAAGGCCUAGGCCCAUUCUCCAGCUUCUGGAGAAACCAAACCAAGCACCGCUUCUGCAUGUUUAGCCCAGUUGGUCGAAAUAUCUGACCAUGCUGUUACUUGUACCAGUUUUUAACUGCAGAGUGAUUGAUCUAAAAGCAAAACUGAUUCAAUUACUAUAACAUUACUUGGAAAUACUAAGAGGUAAUCCAGAUGGUUCGGGCCACCAUCCCUUCGAUUUCUAUUUGUUUCAGGAAAGGUAAUGAAUGCAUAUUUCUCUUGCUAUUUACCCCUGUGGUGCUUCAAUUUGUGUGUCAACUUGAGUGGGCCACACGUUAUUCAGAUUAAACAUUGUAUUUGAAUGAGGUUAGCACUUGAAUCUGUGGAUUCAGUAAAAGCAAACCCCCUCUUCUGCGUGGCUGGACAGCUUCAAAUCCAUGGAGGGUCUUGUAUCAGUCAGCUUUCCCAUCCCUGAGACACAAUACUUGACACCCACAACUUUCUGGAAAAAAAGGUUUAAUUCAGCUCAGAGUUUCAUGAGUUUCAGUCCAUGACUGGCAGCCUCCAAGAUGGAAACAUCAUGGUGGAACGAUGUGUGGAGCAAAGCUGCUUAGGUCAUGGCAGGGCAGGGGAAAAGCCAGGGAAGAACAGACGAAGGACCAUACAUAGCACCUACAGCCACAUCUCCACGACCCACCAGACCUUCCAGGAGAGCGCCUUACUAAUCUGCGAGGCAUUUUUUAAUCCAAUGAAGUUGACAUAUCAAGAUUAACAUAGACCUCAAAAAACAAAAGGUAAAGAGAGGAAGUAUUCUCCCACCCCCACCCCCACUCCCACCUUUUUUUCCCCCUAUUUCACUGCUUGAUCUGGAACAUAUUAUCUCAUCUUCUGCCCUAGGAUUGGAAUUUACAUCGUCACCUCCACUGGUUCUCAAGCUUUCAGGCUCAUACUGCCUUUGAGCAAUGGCUUUACCCAGUCUCUAGCUUGCAGUCUGACAUCCAUGGGAUUCUUAGCUUUCAUAAUGGUGUGAGCCGCUUCCUCCUACAAAUCUGCACAACUGUAGGGGUGUGUGUGUGUGUGUGUGUGUGUGUGUAUCUCUAAUUGAUUGUGUUUCUCUGAAGAGCUCUAACACAAUCCCUCUCUAGGUAGUUUGCAGAAAAAAAACAGGCUUGGUUUGCAAAUAUCAAUACUUGCCUGGGAUAGCCAGGCAUGGUGGCACACACAUAUAAUCCCAGCACUCGGGAGGCUGAGGCAAGAGGAUCGCUGUGAGUCUGUGACCAGCCUGGGCUAAAUCGUUGAGUUCCAGGUCAGUCUCAACUACACAGUGAGACCCUGUCUCAAAAAAACAAAACAAAACAAAAAAAAACUUACCUGGGAAAAGUGGCCAGACCCUCAGAUAAGAGUCCAUUCUUUAGAUAAAUUCCACCUCUUUCUCACCCCAGGCAAGUCAGACCACUAUUAUUAAUGGUGGCAAAAUAUACAUAGUUGAACUGUAUCAUUUUAGCUAUUUUUACGUGUAGAGUUCAGUGGCAGGGGGUACAUUCCCCAUGUUGUGCAGCUGUUAUCUGUCUCGGCACAUUUUCAUCAUUCCAAACAGAAAUUCUAUACUCAUUAAACCAGAACUCUCCAUACCUCCCUCCAGCCUUCGGCAAUGACCAUUCUACUUUCUAUGGCUAUGAAUUUGAAUCUAGGUGUCUCAUCUGAGAAGAAUUGUGCAAUAUUUGCUUUUUUGUUUAGCAUACACCUAUACUGUAGCUGUGUCAGAAUCUCAUUCCUUUUUGUCUUUCUAAAUUUUAGUUUAUUAGUACAUGUGUGUAGCAUGUAAUAUUUACAUUCCUGUGGGAAGUUAUAUAUGUGCAAAAUACAUCUUAAUUCUUUUUUUAAUCACCCAAUUCUUGAAAACUAUUCCGUGUAUAGAUAGACUAUAUUUUGUUUAUUCAUUCACCUGUUGGUAUGCACUCAGUUGUUUCCACUUGUGGCUACUGUGAAUGAUGUUGCUAAGAACAGUGGCAGGCGAGUGCCACUCUGAAUCUCUGCUUUCAAUUUCUUGUGGUCAGUGGCCAGGACCGGAGCCACUGGAUCUUGUGGCAAUUCUGCAUUUAACUUUUUGAGAAGCUACUAAAUGUUUCUCCACAGGAGUUGCAUCCUUUGAC